rnacentral:siRNA from 1 species
CAUAACUUUUAGACCGUGAGGCCA